AGAAUCAACGCUGGCGGCGUGCCUAACACAUGCAAGUCGCACGAGAAAGCGGACUUCGGUCUGUGAGUAAAGUGGCGCACGGGUGAGUAACACGUGAAUGAUCUACCUCCGAGUGGGGAAUAACUGAGAGAAAUCUUAGCUAAUACCGCAUAACACUUAUGAGUCAAAGCAGCAAUGCGCUUGGAGAGGAGUUCGCGGCAGAUUAGUUAGUUGGCGGGUAAUGGCCCACAAGACAAUGAUCUGUA
rnacentral:rRNA from 1 species